CAAAAACACAAGUUGAAACCCUCCAAAGAUUCUCAGGGACAAAAAUGUUUGCAGGGCUACAUGGGCCAAAGGACUCAUGGUAGUACUUGCAUCAAGCUGCAAAUAUAGACAAUUGCAAUUUAAUUAUCACUCUAAGCACCAGAAAUUCAGUUUGUAGACAGCAUAUUCAUAUAAUAUCCUGAUUGGUAUAAGGCUGUGAUAUUUUCUUUCCAUAUUUUGGAAUUUCACAUAGAUUUGUUCUUUGAACCACAACGGCAGCCUGCACAUGAUAAUGAUGGAAAGCCAUGAAAUGACCUUGCUUUGCUAUGGGAUGACCCUAAUCAGAAAGAUUUCCUGCUGGGAACAGAACCAGUUGGGGAUUUGUUGGCAGGCUGCAAAAUUGGACUUCACAAGACACAUUUAUAGUGUGGGCUAUAAGGGGCAAGAUGCCCAUCCCUUUGUCCAAAAUGAGCAGGAAUUCCACUACUUUUUUCCCCUAUUAUUUUUCAUUAAAUAUACCAGGAAGACUUAUCCAGGAAAAUUUACAGCCAUCACCUCAUAACUUUAAUUGCCUCCUGGCAAAUUCUUAGGAUUAAUUAAUCCCAUGGAAAUUAUCAGUUUACGUAAUACACUAAACCUAAUCAACAGCUUUAAUCAAAAGAAAAGUAUAAUGGCAUUCCUGAUGAAAUUGGCAGGAUAAAUAUGUUAAGCUUGAUUGUACUGUACUUACCAUUGUCUAAAUGUACCUUUCCACCACUUCCCAAGCAUUUUAUUCCUUUCCAGGCAAUCCCCUUGUAUUAAUUUUGAAAUUAAAGACUUCUUAGCACAGAGCUAUUCUUUAGGCUAAUAACAAGAUAUAUUAUUAGGGAUGGAGUAAUUCUACAAUUCCUCUGUACUAUACAGGCAAUUAAUAGGCACAAGUUCCCAAAUAUAACCAUUCUUCCCUCAGCCCUUCAAACCACCAUCAUCUAUGCUACAAAUUGUCAAAACAAUGUCAGAUCCAUGUUGGGUCUCCCUGAAUGCCAGAACUGAGAUCCAGCAAAUGAAGGAAAAAGCAAGCAAGGAGAUUUUCUUGGCAGUACUUCAUUCCUUAAACUGCCUCAAGGCACUAGAAAUGUUUCCCAAUUGUCUGUAAGAGUUUGUCAGAAGAAAUGGGCAAAUGCAAGAGAAAACAUGAAGACCUACCUAUCAUAUAACUACUCUGAUUCAAGCUACAUUUCAACACCAUGUCUCUCCUUUCUCUUCUAAGAUUUUUUGGAAAGAUAAGGAGCAGAGGUGCCUCCAAAGUAUUUUUUCAUUCCUUAGCUGGAAUCUGAAUUGGAUGAAUAUUUGUGUACAGAAAUUUAAAUAAAUGCAAUAAAUAAAUGAAAUUCAACAUUCUCAAACAGAACUGAUGCCAGAUAUUUAAAAACAUCACAAAUACAUUGCAGUAUUCACCAAAUAUAUUAGGCAGCAACAGCUUCUAAAAGCAGACCCAUAACAUCUACCUGAGAAAACAUUCUCAAUGUACAUGUCAUUUAUUUUUAUCCUUCCUUUAUUAUUUUUAUG